CUACGGGUGGCUGCAGUGAGGAAUAUUGCACAAUGGAGGAAACUCUGAUGCAGCAACGCCGCGUGGAGGAUGACGCAUUUCGGUGUGUAAACUCCUUUUAUAUGUCAAGAAAAUGACGGUAGCAUAUGAAUAAGCACCGGCUAACUCCGUGCCAGCAGCCGCGGUAAGACGGAGGGUGCAAGCGUUACUCGGAAACACUGGGCGUAAAGGACGCGUAGGCGGGAUAUCAAGUCAGGUGUGAAAUCCUACAGCUUAACUGUAGAACUGCACUUGAAACUGGUAACCUAGAGUAUGGGAGGGGGAGAUGGAAUUAGUGGUGUAGGGGUAAAAUCCGUAGAUAUCACUAGGAAUACCUAAAGCGAAGGCGAUCUCCUGGAACAUAACUGACGCUAAGGCGUGAAAGCGUGGGGAGCAAACAGGAUUAGAUACCCCAGUAGUC
rnacentral:rRNA from 1 species